rnacentral:rRNA from 1 species
UACGGAGGGUGCAAGCGUUAAUCGGAAUUACUGGGCGUAAAGCGUGCGCAGGCGGUUUUGUAAGUCUGUCGUGAAAGCCCCGGGCUCAACCUGGGAAUUGCGAUGGAGACUGCAAGGCUAGAAUCUGGCAGAGGGGGGUAGAAUUCCACGUGUAGCAGUGAAAUGCGUAGAGAUGUGGAGGAACACCGAUGGCGAAGGCAGCCCCCUGGGUCAAGAUUGACGCUCAUGCACGAAAGCGUGGGGAGCAAACAGG